rnacentral:rRNA from 1 species
GACGAACGCUGGCGGCGUGCCUAAUACAUGCCAGUAGAACGCUGAAGGAGGAGCUUGCUCUUCUGGAUGAGUUGCGAACGGGUGAGUAACGCGUAGGUAACCUGCCUGGUAGCGGGGGAUAACUAUUGGAAACGAUAGCUAAUACCGCAUAACAGUAGAUGUUGCAUGACAUUUACUUAAAAGGUGCAAUUGCAUCACUACCAGAUGGACCUGCGUUGUAUUAGCUAGUUGGUGGGGUAACGGCUCACCAAGGCGACGAUACAUAGCCGACCUGAGAGGGGGAUCGGCCAAACUGGGACUGAGACACGGCCCAGACUCCUACGGGAGGCAGCAGGAGGGAAUCUUCGGCAAUGGACGGAAGUCUGACCGAGCAACGCCGCGGGAGUGAAGAAGGGUUUCGGAUCGUAAAGCUCUGUUGUAAGAGAAGAACGAGUGUGAGAGUGGAAAGUUCACACUGUGACGGUAUCUUACCAGAAAGGGACGGCUAACUACGUG